rnacentral:rRNA from 1 species
ACAGAGGCCUCGAGCGUUAGGCGGAAUCACUGGGCUUAAAGCGUGUGUAGGCGGACCCCUAAGUGUCUUGUGAAAUCCCACGGCUCACCCGUGGAACCGCUGGGCAUACUGGGGGUCUUGGGCCGUUCAGGGGCGACUGGAACAAGCGGUGGAGCGGUGAAAUGCGUAGAUAUCGCUUGGAACGCCGAAGGUGAAAACAGGUCGCUGGGGACGCGCCGACGCUGAGACACGAAAGCCAGGGGAGCAAACGGGA